GGCGGAGCCUGCUGGCGG
rnacentral:misc_RNA from 1 species